rnacentral:tRNA from 1 species
GGUAAGGUGGCUCAGUGGUAGAGCGCUAGCCUUGCAUGCAUGAGGCCCUGGGUUCGAUUCCUCAGCACCA